rnacentral:lncRNA from 1 species
GACUGGCAUCUUUCCUUCUAAUAUGCACAGGAGUCCUUUGUUUUUCAUAGUGUGAUAGCUCAUUUCUUCCUUUUUUCCCCUAAAAUAUUUGACUCAAUACCUAUAGCAGAGCCUUCUCUCCCAGAAACUGUGGGAAAAUGAGUGUCCUAGUUAACUUAAACUGUCAACUUGGUACUCAUAGACUCCUGUAUUUUAGUGUUUGUUUGAACCCAGUUGGUGGAACUGUUUUGGGAGGGACUAGGAGGUGUGGCUUUGUUGGAGUAGGUGUGGUUUUGUUGGAGGAAGUAUGUCACUGGGGAUGAGUUUUGAAGGUUCAAAAGCCUAUACCAAACCAACUUGCUCUCUCUAUCUGCCUCCAACUUACAGAGAAGAUGUCAACUCUCAGCUACUGCUCUAGUGCCUGCCAGCUGCCAUGCUCCCCACUGUGAUGGUCAUGGAGUCAUCCUCUGAAGCAGCUAGAUUCCCAAGGCUUCUACUGGUUUGGAGUAUGUGAACAACGUCGUGGCUCUUGCUGUGCAGUGGGACGGUGAGCUUACCGAUGAUCUCCACUGGACUGCGACCCUCCGAGGGCACGGCUGCUGGACUGCGACCCUCCGAGGGCACGGCUGCUGGACUGCGACCCUCCGAGGGCACGGCUGCUGGACUGCGACCCUCCGAGGGCACGGCUGCUGGACUGCGACCCUCCGAGGGCACGGCUGCUGGACUGCGACCCUCCGAGGGCACGGCUGCUGGACUGCGAACCCUCCGAGGGCACGGCUGCUGGACUGCGAACCCUCCGAGGGCACGGCUGCUGGACUGCGACCCUCCGAGGGCACGGCUGCUGGACUGCGACCCUCCGAGGGCACGGCUGCUGGACUGCGACCCUCCGAGGGCACGGCUGCUGGACUACAACCCUCCGAAGGCACGGCUGCUGGAUUUAGCUUGACCUUUAGCACCUGGCAGGUGGCCCAGGCAUAUCCACACUGUGCUCCCUGAACCUCGGCAUGGGUUUGAUACAGAUGUUCCAUCGAGGACUGGGCACUCAACUGUCACUUACCCUCAACACUGUGACCACGUGUGAGCAUCAGCACUAACUGGCACCCAGUGUGAAACUGAGCUUCUCUGGUGAAGGCCGACAGCAGCAUUGCUAUGGGUGUGCAUUCAGAAGGCAGCUUGAUAGCAUGCCCAUUUAGCAAAAUGGCUAUGGUAGAUUACCCCUAGGGCCUUUGACCUUGCCAGCCACAGGCUCUUGACAAAGUUGGCCUCAGUUCCAAAUAGAAAACAAUUGCUUACUCAAAAUAGUCAUGCUAUGUAGUCUCCCCUCCCCCAGCCUGAAACUUGCUGGCUCUGGGGUGGAGCUUCCUGCUCAUUCGUUCUGCCACGCCCACUGCUAGAACCUGCCGCCUUGCUGUUCCGAAGCCAUCACGUGCUCACCCUGCUACUGGACUCCGAGAUUAUUUGGUGGGAAUCGGGUCCCCUCCCCCUUCCUUCAUAACUGAGUGUUGCAACAGUAAAAAUUGAGCUUUGAU